UAGUAGCACCGUUGUGAAGAAUUACCCGCGUUAUUGGACAGUUGCUGCCUCCCUAGUAGGACGCCGCUUCCCUGCUACAACACAACACCUUUCAAGCUCCUACUGAAAAGGCGACGCCAGCCCCAGACUCGCCCAUGUAGCCUACUAGUUAAAGGCCACACCCAAGCAACAAGAAAUAUCAGAUUUAACUAGAUGGCAGCAUGUGACUAGUGCAGCCAUGGAACCACUCAAGCUGGGAGUGCGCACGCAUCCCCCAGGCCUCACGCUGGUGUACCGCAGUGCUGCCGGGAAGGAGCGCUAUCGAGUGAUGCCCAUCAGGUUUCUCAACAAGUUUGGCUCAGUUGAAAAUGUCUUGAAAGAGAUGAAAGACAGACAUCAACCAUUUUUAGAUGAAGUUCCAGAUGUCAGAAUAGAGAAGAUGUUGCGCAUCCUUCAGGAGGUGGAGCGUGGCCGAAAUCUGGAGGAGGCAACAACCAUAGUCGGGCAGGAGUAUUCAGUUGACCCAGAGCAGGACCUCAACAAGCUGGAUGAUGCAAAUCUUGAUAAGAAGAAAAAGGUUAUGAACACCAGUUUUGAGAAGAAUUGUGUCCGUCCUGGAGAUCCUGACUAUGAGUAUGACAAGCAGGUGGACUUUGGCAGUGGUGCAAAGGUGGAAGCAGGCUGGGACUCACCAGAUGAAGACUUCUGGUCAUGAACUGCAUAUUAGCUGGUCUGUUGUGGUGAAGCACUUUUGGUGCACCAGAGAAUAGCAAAUCUUCACUGUUGGUAAUGUAAGUUGUACCAGUCAUUGACAAGUUACUGUUUUUGUGUUAAAAUUUCUGCAUUAAUUUGAAACAUCAGAUGGUGGACGGAGCUUGCAUGAUGCAGCUGAUCUGUUGACCUUUACAUAUUUGUGUUGAAUAGAGAUCAGGUUAAGUUUUCAGUAUUAAUAACCAAACCAAAAUGAUUGCUUUUUUCUCAAUACAUAACAACAUGACAAUUUAAUUCAGAUGCAUUUUAAGUACUUUAUGUACAUAGUUUUACAAUACAUUUGUGUACACACACUCCAGAUUAUGAAAACUGCAUUUUGUGAAUAACUAUCUUUGCAGUGCUCUGUAACAAGUGUGCCUGGAGGGCCUAGGUGAGGGAGGGCUGCUGGUCCUGCUGCUGUUGACUCCUCAUGGCAUUCUUGACACAUGCCUUGAAGCCUGCCCACCCUUCAGAGGGUUCUUGUUGCUGGAGGGGGAGUAACAUGUUAGCAAGAACUGAGGAAGCCCUGGUGUUGGUGCUGUAAUCAGCCAGAAGCAGUCCUGCAGGUCACCCUGAUGGGUGAUUGGCCACAACACAUCAUAGAUCACAGUCUAGUAUCGGUGUAUUACAUUGCUACUACUGACUGGUCCACACUGUUCCCCCUAUCACCUUGUUCAAGUUUGUGAUAAUGUACAGUGUUUCUAAUAUUUUCUUUGUCUGAUUAGGCUACUCCUCAGCACCAGCACACUUUCACAGCAAUGGAGACAAGUGGUGGUACACAAGCAAUACACAACAAUUGUCACCCAGGACAAUGUGCAGGCUCAUAACUGGAGAUUUUCUAGACCACACCAACUAUCACUGGGCAAUGUGCAAACAGACACACUCCUUGUUAGUUUUGCUGUGGAGUGAAUUACAUGCAGUAGGCUAGGCAACAAUGAAAAUGAUGCAUUCUAAUGUAGUGUUUGUUAUGGCAAUGUGGCAUUUGUUAUGACAAAUGUGCAUUAUGAUGACUGAAGAACCUAUGGGAAAAAAUUAAUUGGUUCCAGGGAACCAGAAAAGAAAAAAAUUUUAAUUUUUUAAAGGAUACAUCAAAAUAAGCACAUUUGCACUACAUUUUGAGAUAACACAACAAAUAUUCACAAUACCCUCUUGAGUUUUGUGCCUAGUCUUAAAUUCUUAUUACUGUGCAGUAAAAAAAACAUUAUACUUGCAAUACAUUUUUAAGUACAUUUCCAAGGAAAGUGUAAGUAUGACACAAGUGACUCUCAUAGGCAAUAUAUGAUUGACUGGUAUUAUAACAUGAUGCACUCCACAGCAAAAUUGACAAAUGUUUCACAAGCAAUGUGUUUGAGCACAGAAGUUAUGCCACAAUAGCUGGUGCGGGCCCUCCAUCUGGAAGGCCCCCAGUUCUGAGCCUGCAAUUUGUCCUGGAUGGGCUAGAAACUGUGCAUUGCACAUGUACCUUACACCUUUCUACAGUUGCCUGUUUGUCUUACAGUAGCAGCUCGUGGGACAGCCAAUUUUCUUGCUUCUGGUCUUCUCUACCUACUCAAGUAUAUUGUCUCCUGAGCUCACACUGUGACCUCACAACAGUGUUAUGUAGCUGCUUUGGCAAAGAACCUCCCUCUGAGCCUGUGUGAGGUCAGAACCUUUUUGUGUUCUGCACUUUUGAGAAAGGCUUUUGGCUUUUCUUCUAGUUUCACCAGGAGGCCCUUCAGACAUCUCAGUCUCACAAGUGUUUUCACCAUGAUAUGCAGUGAAAAAUACUUGCAUGAGGAAACCAAUCACUUCAAGGAAAUGCUCACAGGACUUGAAUACCUAAGGGUCUCUUGGUGAAAUUACAAGAAAAGGCUAAAGACUGUCUCAGAGAGGUGUAGAACUCAAAAAGCCAAAAAAAGUAUUUGGUUGUCCCAAGGUCUUAUAUUACAGUCUCUCGGGGAGGCUUCAUGCAAAACAGACAAAACCAGAGUGAGAUCAGAAGAUCACCAGAUCAGACAGCUAGUGAAGAUCAGAACCAAGGAAAAUAAAGACAGCAUACUAGAUCCAGUACCCUGUUGCAGCUGUGCCACAAGCUUCUAGUAUGAGACAAUUAUGGGACAAACAGAGUUCAGGAACAUAGAGCAAAUAUAAGGUACCAAUCCUCUGGUAGACUGCACUGAUAAAGGGUACCUCUUUAAAUGGAGUAAUAUGAAGAUGCUAACGAGUGACCUCAUCAAACAAGAAAUACCAAAAUCACUGUACAUCACAAAGAAGAGGGCAGGGGACAAAACGUGGAGAGAGUCUGCAGCAACAGUGAUGCACUCACAUCAGACUGUGACCCAGGACAUGUUCCAACCAAUCAGCAAACAGGGCAACCUGCACAACCAAUUUUGGCAUGUGACACUGCUAACACCUGAGCUUCCUCAGUUCUCCUGAAGCAGAAGCCACAAGCAAAACUAGUCAGGAAUUAACAUGCCUCAUAACAACCUAACUCACCUUGAAGCCUCGGUGCAGCCGGUCCCUCAUGAUGGCAAUGAACUCCUUGUAGCUCAGCUGGCCGUCACCAUCAUCAUCAAAGAUCUUGAACACAGUGUCCACAAUGUGGGGACUCAGCUCAGCACCAGUGCAGAUCUUUACUGCUCGAUGGAACUCCUCUGAAAGGUCAUGCACAAGCUAUAAUCAAAAGUGUUUGUGACAGGACAUGAUCUCUAGAGGAAAAGUUCAAAUAUUUAAAAAUAUUAAUCUCCAGUGUAGUGCCUUGAAUAAGAGUGACUAUGAAGAAACAAUGAAACUGAAUAGGAUGUGAAAAUUACUAAGUAAACAAACCAUUAUAGUAAAAAAAAAAGCAAGGAUGUGAAAAUUACUAAGUAAACAAACCAAUAUAGGUCAAAAAAAGCACAGUUGAUCACCUCCUCACAAAAUCCCUCAAUGCACAGACAUCUGUUUUAAAGCACUAUUUCUUUGUGAUGUACAUCAUGACCUCAGUACCUCAACAAUUCUUAGUAUUUUAGUUUUUAUACCAAGUAUGUAUAAAUAAAUUAUGUUAUCACCCACA